rnacentral:rRNA from 1 species
CGUGAGAUGUUGGGUUAAGUCCCGCAACGAGCGCAACCCUUAUUGUUAGUUGCCAUCAUUUAGUUGGGCACUCUAGCGAGACUGCGGUGACAAACCGGAGGAAGGUGGGGAUGACGUCAAAUCAUCAUGCCCCUUAUGACCUGGGCUACACACGUGCUACAAUGGGAAGUACAACGAGUCGCUAGACCGCGAGGUCAUGCAAAUCUCUUAAAGCUUCUCUCAGUUCGGAUUGCAGGCUGCAACUCGCCUGCA